UGGCGGCGCGCCUAAUACAUGCAAGUCGAGCGAGAAGACGUAGCAAUACGUUUGUAAAGCGGCGAACGGGUGAGGAAUACAUGGGUAACCUACCUUCGAGUGGGGAAUAACUAGCCGAAAGGUUAGCUAAUACCGCAUACGACUCCUGGUCUGCGGAUCGGGAGAGAAAGCGAUACCGUGGGUAUCGCGCUCUUGGAUGGGCUCAUGUCCUAUCAGCUUGUUGGUGAGGUAACGGCUCACCAAGGCUUCGACGGGUAGCUGGUCUGAGAGGACGAUCAGCCACACUGGCACUGCGACACGGGNCAGACUCCUACGGGAGGCAGCAGUAAGGAAUAUUGCGCAAUGGGCGACAGCCUGACGCAGCGACGCCGCGUGGGGGAUGAAGGUCUUCGGAUUGUAAACCCC
rnacentral:rRNA from 1 species